GCCCCUAUCGUCUAGUGGCCCAGGACAUCUCUCUUUCAAGGAGGCAGCGGG
rnacentral:tRNA from 1 species